rnacentral:rRNA from 1 species
UACGUAGGUGGUAAGCGUCAUCCGGAAUUACUGGGUGUAAAGGGGGCGCAGGCGGGUCAGCAAGUUGGAUGUGAAAUACCGCAGCUUAACUGCGGAGCUGCAUCCAAAACUGUUGAUCUUGAGUGGAGUAGAGGUAGGCGGAAUUCCGAGUGUAGCGGUGAAAUGCGUAGAUAUUCGGAGGAACACCGGUGGCGAAGGCGGCCUACUGGGCUUUUACUGACGCUGAGGCCCGAAAGUGUGGGGAGCAAAC